CUAUUGGUUUGAUGUGGCCGUAUUGGAUCCGGAUGGACCCAGGAGCCAACAAACUCAUCAAUAAGACAAUGGAGAUCGCUCCUCUCGUCCGUUGGAGUCCAGCGAGAUCCGACGAAUCUCUGUCUGUGAAAAAACCUGACUCAACGCCGCCUCGCUGACCGAACGUUUCGAUCGGUGAAACGACGUGUCCUUUAACGAGGUCGUUCCUUAAAGAAAGAAAGACACCUGGCGUCGCAAUGUCAGCAUUCGUCGCACGAUUACGAAAGUACUGCCCGAAACCCCGAGACGGCCAUCAACGGUACCGGUCGGAAACGUCGCCGCCUUUGUCGAAUAAACGAACGUAAUGGGACGUGAAGGAGCUGAAGUCCCACGCGCACUACGGGGAGCCAUCUCGUAAUUCUAAUCUAGACACGUAAUUUCGUUAUUUUUUUUCUUUCAUUUUAUAAGAUUUCUCUCAUAUAUUUUUGGUCACCUUGAUCUCCGGCCGGACUCGGCUGGAAUUUAUUGCGCCAGCGCGUUUGCAGCGAUUGCAUCACGGGCCGAGACGGCCCGAGCGUUCUUUUUCUAUCUCACGUGGCCAGGGGAGUAAAAACGUCCCGCCCGUUCGCGUUCGCCUACGUCGCGUUAUACGAUCCCGCUUCCGUGUGCCCCGCGGAAUUUCGUUUCUCUCUCCGGAAACGUAAUGCCCGCCCCCUCGCCGCUUUCGGGGGUCGAGGUCGAGCGUGCCGCGAGCAAACGGCGCGGAUUUAAUCGCGGAGCGCCGCGACGAAACAACAGGUGAGGCUAACUAUAUGGAGAACCUACGUCAGGUUACCCAUUCGUAAUUAAUGAAACGCUUUAAAAGACACCUGUGCGACCAUCUCUGCUGGCCGCACAGGUGGCCGCCUAGACUGUUACGGCGAUAAACCCGGUCCCGCUCGCGUACAGGUGUGCGCCGCAGGUACGCCGGCGCUCUAUGAAUCGGCAGCUCGCGGGCACACCGCUGCGACAAAUCCCAGUCACGAGGACGGACUGUCUAAUGAUUUCGCGCUAUCAAUGUUAAUCGUCUGUUAGCGGCCUCUCGUCGGGGAGAAAGCGCCCUGAAAAUUGCAACGCUGAGGAAAAAUUGGAUAAAUCGACUAAGCGGCGUUUCCGCACCCACGGAAAGGAAAU